rnacentral:lncRNA from 1 species
GAUGUCAAAUAAAGGAAGAUGCCGUGGAGCAAUUCAUGUUUCAAAUAAAGACACUUAGGAAAAAGAACCAAAAAUAUCAUGAAAGAAACACUAUAAAAUCACUCUGGAAGAUACUAGAAAGAAAAUAAUCAAGGAAACUUUGUUGCAACUGGACCAAAAGAAGGAAUGGGCCACACAGAAUGCUGUAAAGCUCAUUGACAAGGGCAGUUAUCUAGAGAUCUGGGAGAAUGACUGGCUCAAAAAAGAGGUUGCAAUUCACAGGAAGGAAGUUGAAGAAUUAAAAAAUGCUAUUCAUGAACUGGAAGCAGAAAAUUUGGUGCUUAUUGAUCAACUAUCCAACUGUAGACUUGUGGAUCUCAAGAUACCCAGGCGACUAUAUCUUACCCAAGCUGC